UACAGAGGUCUCAAGCGUUGUUCGGAUUCAUUGGGCGUAAAGGGUGCGUAGGUGGCUGGGCAAGUUGGAUGUGAAAUCCCGGAGCUUAACUCCGGAACUGCAUUCAAUACUGCCUUGCUCGAGUACUGGAGAGGAGAUUGGAAUUUACGGUGUAGCAGUGAAAUGCGUAGAUAUCGUAAGGAAGACCAGUGGCGAAGGCGGAUCUCUGGACAGUUACUGACACUGAGGCACGAAGGCCAGGGGAGCAAACGGG
rnacentral:rRNA from 1 species